rnacentral:rRNA from 1 species
UAGGGAAUCUUCGGCAAUGGACGAAAGUCUGACCGAGCAACGCCGCGUGAGUGAAGAAGGUUUUCGGAUCGUAAAACUCUGUUGUUAGAGAAGAACAAGGACGUUAGUAACUGAACGUCCCCUGACGGUAUCUAACCAGAAAGCCACGGCUAACUACGUGCCAGCAGCCGCGGCAAUACGUAGGUGGCAAGCGUUGUCCGGAUUUAUUGGGCGUAAAGCGAGCGCAGGCGGUUUCUUAAGUCUGAUGUGAAAGCCCCCGGCUCAACCGGGGAGGGUCAUUGGAAACUGGGAGACUUGAGUGCAGAAGAGGAGAGUGGAAUUCCAUGUGUAGCGGUAAACUGCGAAGAUAUAUGGAGGAACACCAGUGGCGAAGGCGGCUCUCUGGUCUGUAACUGACGCUGGGGCUCGAAAGCGUGGGGAGCAAACAGG